CGUGGUGCGGCCGUUAGCCGGCGGGGGCUCAGGUGGGAGCGUGCGCUCCGUCAGUUGCCGUUCGGUGCGCGUGUCCUUGCGAAGGCGCUUCUGCGCUUGGAAGGGGCGCGUUCCAGAUCCUGAGCUCCAUGGUACCUGUUUUCAUUGCUUCAUCCAGGCCAGUGUCACUCAGCUUUUUCUGCCAGCAAGUAUCCAGGGCAUGGGUGCUUCUCUGUCAUGUAUCUAGAUCUUCAGACUGGCUGGAGGCCCAGAAUCAAGAAAGGUGCUGGGCUGCUGCUGGAGAGAUGAUUUGAUAUGUAGGUCGCUCUGAAAGAACCUGACACAAAAUGCAGCUUUCUCAGCAGGGAAGAUUGGCCUCUUUACAUUGGAAGACCUUUGUCAGUGGUGUAUGCAUUUCAGAGUGCUCCCACCUUCUUUGUACAGCUUGGUGAAAUAUAUUAGUCUCAAUACAAAGGCUUAAAUACACUCCGAUUUGGAGAGCAGCAUAUUUAAAUUGGCACUCUGCACAUUGAUGCUUCUACAGAGACACCAUCAGCACACACUCUCCAGGUAACUGCACUGCUUGCAGAACAUGUGUUUGUUAUUUUUUUGUUUUGUUUUUCCUUGAAAC